rnacentral:rRNA from 1 species
GUCCACGCCUUAAACUAUGGAUACUAAGUGUCGGCGGGUUACCGCCGGUGCCGCAGCUAACGCAGUAAGUAUCCCGCCUGGGAAGUACGGCCGCAAGGUUGAAACUCAAAGGAAUUGACGGGGCCCGCACAAGCGGUGGAGCAUGUGGUUUAAUUCGACGCAACGCGAAGAACCUUACCCAGGCUGGACAUGCAGGUAGUAGAAGGGUGAAAGCCCAACGAGGUAGCAAUACCAUCCUGCUCAGGUGCUGCAUGGCUGUCGU